UGCAAGUAGAACGCUGAAGAGAGGAGCUUGCUCUUCUUGGAUGAGUUGCGAACGGGUGAGUAACGCGUAGGUAACCUGCCUUGUAGCGGGGGAUAACUAUUGGAAACGAUAGCUAAUACCGCAUAACAAUGGAUGACACAUGUCAUUUAUUUGAAAGGGGCAAUUGCUCCACUACAAGAUGGACCUGCGUUGUAUUAGCUAGUAGGUGAGGUAAUGGCUCACCUAGGCGACGAUACAUAGCCGACCUGAGAGGGUGAUCGGCCACACUGGGACUGAGACACGGCCCAGACUCCUACGGGAGGCAGCAGUAGGGAAUCUUCGGCAAUGGGGGCAACCCUGACCGAGCAACGCCGCGUGAGUGAAGAAGGUUUUCGGAUCGUAAAGCUCUGUUGUAAGUCAAGAACGGGUGUGAGAGUGGAAAGUUCACACUGUGACGGUAGCUUACCAGAAAGGGACGGCUAACUACGUGCCAGCAGCCGCGGUAAUACGUAGGUCCCGAGCGUUGUCCGGAUUUAUUGGGCGUAAAGCGAGCGCAGGCGGUUUGAUAAGUCUGAAGUUAAAGGCUGUGGCUCAACCAUAGUUCGCUUUGGAAACUGUCAAACUUGAGUGCAGAAGGGGAGAGUGGAAUUCCAUGUGUAGCGGUGAAAUGCGUAGAUAUAUGGAGGAACACCGGUGGCGAAAGCGGCUCUCUGGUCUGUAACUGACGCUGAGGCUCGAAAGCGUGGGGAGCGAACAGGAUUAGAUACCCUGGUAGUCCACGCCGUAAACGAUGAGUGCUAGGUGUUGGAUCCUUUCCGGGAUUCAGUGCCGCAGCUAACGCAUUAAGCACUCCGCCUGGGGAGUACGACCGCAAGGUUGAAACUCAAAGGAAUUGACGGGGGCCCGCACAAGCGGUGGAGCAUGUGGUUUAAUUCGAAGCAACGCGAAGAACCUUACCAGGUCUUGACAUCCCGAUGCUAUUUCUAGAGAUAGAAAGUUACUUCGGUACAUCGGUGACAGGUGGUGCAUGGUUGUCGUCAGCUCGUGUCGUGAGAUGUUGGGUUAAGUCCCGCAACGAGCGCAACCCCUAUUGUUAGUUGCCAUCAUUCAGUUGGGCACUCUAGCGAGACUGCCGGUAAUAAACCGGAGGAAGGUGGGGAUGACGUCAAAUCAUCAUGCCCCUUAUGACCUGGGCUACACACGUGCUACAAUGGUUGGUACAACGAGUUGCGAGUCGGUGACGGCGAGCUAAUCUCUUAAAGCCAAUCUCAGUUCGGAUUGUAGGCUGCAACUCGCCUACAUGAAGUCGGAAUCGCUAGUAAUCGCGGAUCAGCACGCCGCGGUGAAUACGUUCCCGGGCCUUGUACACACCGCCCGUCACACCACGAGAGUUUGUAACACCCGAAGUCGGUGAGGUAACCUUUUGGAGCCAGCCGCCUAAA
rnacentral:rRNA from 1 species